GACGAACGCUGGCGGCGUGCUUAACACAUGCAAGUCGAACGGAAAGGCCCUGCUUUUGUGGGGUGCUCGAGUGGCGAACGGAUGAGUAACACGUGAGUAACCUGCCCUAGACUUUGGGAUAACUUCAGGAAACUGGGGCUAAUACCGGAUAGGAGCUCCUGCUGCAUGUUGGGGGUUGGAAUGUUUCGGCGGUUGGGGAUGGACUCGCGGCUUAUCAGUUUGUUGGUGGGGUAGUGGCUUACCAAGGCUUUGACGGGUAGCCGGCAUGAGAGGGUGACCGGCCACAUUGGGACUGAGAUACGGCCCAGACUCCUACGGGAGGCAGCAGUGGGGAAUAUUGCACAAUGGGCGGAAGCCUGAUGCAGCAACGCCGCGUGCGGGAUGACGGCCUUCGGGUUGUAAACCGCUUUCGCCUGUGACGAAGCGUGAGUGACGGUAAUGGGUAAAGAAGCACCGGCUAACUACGUG
rnacentral:rRNA from 1 species